UCCCACACCUCCUUCAGCUUCUGCUGUUUCAUCCUGCUGCCAACACUGGCAAGGACCCACCACUGUUAAUUUCCAUCAGCUAUUUCUUCAUCUGCAGACCUGGCUCCAGCUCUAAGAAGAUGAAAGCCUCACAGACAGCCUUCCUGGAGAGUUGAAUCCUCAGCAUGACAGAAGUCCAACAGCAGUGCAGGCAAAGCACGGGAAAGCUGCCUCCAGCCCCAGGGGAAUGGGAACUCGGACCCUCACUGCUGGCAGGGAUCAACAAGAUGAAAGGGGAAUGGAGCAGCAGCUGAA